UACGUAGGGAGCAAGCGUUGUCCGGAAUCAUUGGGCGUAAAGCGCGCGUAGGCGGCCCCAUAAGUCCGCUGUGAAAGUCAAAGGCUCAACCUUUGAAAGCCGGUGGAUACUGUGGGGCUAGAGUCCGGGAGAGGAGAGUGGAAUUCCUGGUGUAGCGGUGAAAUGCGCAGAUAUCAGGAAGAACACCCGUGGCGAAAGCGGCUCUCUGGAACGGUACUGACGCUGAGACGCGAAAGCGUGGGGAGCGAACAGG
rnacentral:rRNA from 1 species